rnacentral:rRNA from 1 species
AUUGAACGCUGGCGGCAGGCCUAACACAUGCAAGUCGAACGAGUGGCGGACGGGUGAGUAAUGUCUGGGAAACUGCCUGAUGGAGGGGGAUAACUCCUGGAAACGGUAGCUAAUCCCGCAUACCAUCAGAUGUGCCCAUAUGGGAUGAGCUAGUGGGUGGGGUAACGGCUCACCAAGGCGACGAUCCCUAGCUGGUCUGCGAGGAUGACCAGCCACACGGGAACUGAGACACGGUCCAGACUCCUACGGGAGGCAGCAGUGGGGAAUAUUGCACAAUGGGCGCAAGCCGGAUGCAGCCAUGCCGCGUGUAUGAAGAAGGCCUUCGGGUUGUAAAGUACUUUCAGCGGGGAGGCGUUACCCGCAGAAGAAGCACCGGCUAACUCCGUGCCAGCAGCCGCGGUAAUUC